AGGAUUCCGCGAUGGCGAUGGUUUCUUUUCGCGCGAUCAGGGACGCGGCGAUUUUUUCCGCGAGCGGCAGCAGCUUUUCCAUAACGGGACUUUCAGUAUGAGGGCGACGUAAGCGGUACGAGAGGAGAGUCCUGAUGCAAGAUGAUGUCUGUCUCUCUGCUCGUCCCCGCGAAAGCGGGGACCCAGAUAUUGAGUACUGGAUUCCCGCUUCCGCGGGAAUGAGCGGAUACCUGUAUCGGCGCAGAUCAGAGCUGCGUCUUGUA
rnacentral:misc_RNA from 1 species